rnacentral:rRNA from 1 species
AGCGUACACGGUGGAUGCCCUGGCAGUCAGAGGCGAUGAAGGACGUGCUAAUCUGCGAUAAGCGUCGGUAAGGUGAUAUGAACCGUUAUAACCGGCGAUUUCCGAAUGGGGAAACCCAGUGUGAUUCGUCACACUAUCAUUAACUGAAUCCAUAGGUUAAUGAGGCGAACCGGGGGAACUGAAACAUCUAAGUACCCCGAGGAAAAGAAAUCAACCGAGAUUCCCCCAGUAGCGGCGAGCGAACGGGGAGCAGCCCAGAGCCUGAAUCAGUGUGUGUGUUAGUGGAAGCGUCUGGAAAGGCGUGCGAUACAGGGUGACAGCCCCGUACACAAAAAUGCACAUACUGUGAGCUCGAUGAGUAGGGCGGGACACGUGGUAUCCUGUCUGAAUAUGGGGGGACCAUCCUCCAAGGCUAAAUACUCCUGACUGACCGAUAGUGAACCAGUACCGUGAGGGAAAGGCGAAAAGAACCCCGGCGAGGGGAGUGAAAAAGAACCUGAAACCGU